rnacentral:rRNA from 1 species
CCCUUAGAUGUUCUGGGCUGCACACGUGCUACACUGGCAGGUUCAGCGAGCUUCAUGCCCUGAUCUGAAAGGAAUGGGAAAUCUUUUCAAAACCUGCCGUGCUUGGGAUAGAUGUUUGCAAUUAUUCAUCUUCAACGAGGAUUGCCUUGUAAGCGCACGUCAUCAGCGUGCAUUGAAUACGACCCUGUAUUCUGUACACACCGCCCGUCGCUCCUACUGAUUGAAGUUUUCGGUGAGUUGACAGGAGGAUUUUUUUGAAACUGGUUCGCCAGUGGAUUUUAGAUCCAAAUGCCAACGAAUCGAUGGCUUUAGAGGAAGGAGAAGUCGUAACA